rnacentral:rRNA from 1 species
ACGCACGCUGGCGGCAGGCCUAACACAUGCAAGUCGAGCGAGGACUUCGGUUCUAGCGGCGGACGGGUGAGUAACGCGUGGGAAUGUGCCCUUCUCUACGGAAUAGCCCUGGGAAACUGGGAGUAAUACCGUAUACGCCCUAUUGGGGAAAGAUUUAUCGGAGAAGGAUCAGCCCGCGUUGGAUUAGGUAGUUGGUGGGGUAAUGGCCUACCAAGCCGACGAUCCAUAGCUGGUUUGAGAGGAUGGUCAGCCACACUGGGACUGAGACACGGCCCAGACUCCUACGGGAGGCAGCAGUGGGGAAUCUUAGACAAUGGGGGCAACCCUGAUCUAGCCAUGCCGCGUGAGUGAUGAAGGCCUUAGGGUUGUAAAGCUCUUUCAGCUGGGAAGAUAAUGACGGUACCAGCAGAAGAAGCCCCGGCUAACUCCGUG